CUUAAACAAUGUUUAUUGGUGGAUAUUUCCGUAGAGAUUCAUUGAUCUAUUAAUAAACAUGUUUAUUUAAGAUCCGAGAUUAAACAAAGAAGACGCCUAGAAUAUUGUAAUAAAACGAAACGAGUAGUUACAAGUUCUUGUUAUUUAAAUCACUUUUCAGACAUAUUGAAGGAGCAUUCACGGUAGUUUAAAUUCAAACCGGCGCCAGUUGAACGUCUACUGAAGGAGAAUCUCGGGAAGUUAGCAGGCCAGUGUAGCUUCAACAGCUGCGGACUACAGAAAGGGUUCAAAUCUGUCUAGCGGCAAACAAGAAUUUGAUGAUGCGGAAAACCAACGGUUCCAGCAAGUGUUUCCUAUUGCCUAUAAAAGCACACUAGAAAAUCUUCAAAAAGAUCCUAUGUAUAAUAUAUUGGGUACCUCUAACAUUCCUGAGAUAGCUAAGCAUUGCAAACAAAACGCUAAGUUUGAAAAUUACAUUAAGUCAAUAAUAGAAAAGUGCUUCGAUGGAAACAAAAUUUCUUCUGCAGCAGAGAGAGAAGUUUUCUUCAUGAAAGUGCAUGCAUGCAGAAUAGAUCCUGCUGUGUCUGGGGAUGCAAUCAAA